UACGUAGGGGGCGAGCGUUGUCCGGAUUCAUUGGGCGUAAAGAGCUCGUAGGCGGUUCGGCAAGUCGGGUGUGAAAACUCCAGGCUCAACCUGGAGACGCCACCCGAUACUGCUGUGACUCGAGUCCGGUAGGGGACCACGGAAUUCCUGGUGUAGCGGUGAAAUGACGCAGACUAUCAGGAGGAACACCGGUGGCGAAGGCGGUGGUCUGGGCCGGAACUGACGCUGAGGAGCGAAAGCGCGGGGAGCGAACAGG
rnacentral:rRNA from 1 species